ACCAGCUAGAGCUCUGUCAGGCCAAGAAGAGUCUGCCUGGAACUGGAAUGGGGUAUUUUUCUCCGGGGGCAGGAGGGCCACACACUGAGCCCUGGCCCCGCCUUACUUAGGAGCUGGGCCAGUCCCUGGGGAUGCUGGGAGUUUCCUGUCUCACACCAAGUUCAAGUUCAAGGUCACAUGGACUACACGUGACCCUGUCUUGGGAAAACAAAAACAAAAACGGGGGCUCAAGAGGAAGGAAUCGCCUGCCCUUGUGGCAGCUCCGGUACUCAGUUUCCCCUAGUGUAAAAGUGGUAGGCAGGAACUCAUUGGCAUCCUUGUGAGAAAUGAUGUCCCAGCCUGCAUAGUUGGACUGCACGGGGCUAACAGAGAAAAUGCCAGACUGGCUUAACAGCAAACCUCCGGUCCAGGGUGGUUCAGGAGAAAGGACCCACAGCUAAAGAUUUUAUCAGAACAUUCUCAAAGGAAAAGUUCAAGCCAUCUAAUAUUGAUCACCAGAGACCUGGCUGGAAGAGACGGUGGCACAGUCAUGAUGGGGUUCUGUAUGGAGAGGACUGAGCAAGCGUCCAUGGGUGCAAUCCCAAGACCGGCCACCAGGGGCAGAGUAAAGGGGAGUGGCCUGAAGAGCAGGUAGCACUGGAACUAAAGAGGAAGUGAGGGGCUGGUGAUGUGGCCCAGUGGGUACAGAGCCUGCCCAGCACGCAUGAAGCCCUGGUUAGAUCCCCAGCAUCGCAUGAAAUAGGCAUGGAGUCAGAUGCCUAUAGCCCAAGGACGCCUGGAGGCAGGAAGUCAUCCUCAGCUACACUGAAAGGUUGAGGCUAGCCUGUACUAUAUGAAACCAUGUUCAAAAUUUUAAAAGUGUGCAGGGCUGAGAACGUCAUGUUUUUGUGUAUGAUUUAAUUUUGGGGGGGUAGGAUUCACAAGUAUUCGGGAUCGAUGGUUGAUUUCCGAUUAGGAAGUGGGUAUCUGAGCGCUGGAGGAGACAAUGGUGUGUCCUCAUAUCUUCCGAGUAUUCAAUCAUGUUCUGGGGCUACUGAGAUAGCCCAACAGGUAAAGGCGCCUGUUGACAAGGCUCACGACGUGAGUUCGGUCCCCAGGGCCCACAUGGUGGAAGAGAAUGGACCAUUGCAAAGUGUCCUCUGACCUACAUAUGUAGACUGUGGCACAUGUGCCUACUCCAUCAUACGUACAAUAAUAAUAAAUGUUGAAAUCAUG